UGGUUGGUCACCUCUCAGUCUUUUCCC
rnacentral:piRNA from 1 species